UUUCCUUAAAAUAAAACCUUUAUUAUAUAAAAAUGCUUUUGAUACAAAAAAUGUCACAAGGGUAAAUUACGCAAAGCAUUCUUAGCAGAGACAACAAGUACAGGGUUUUACUGACACAGUGGUUUGAGGCAGGGCCUAUAGCCCUCAACAUAAAUGUGUUGUGCUGCUAAAAAAGCACCCAACUUCAGCUACCUAAGCUGGAAAUCUAUUUUAGCUGUAAUGUCACCUGACUGGAGAUAAUUUAAUCAGGCAACAGGAACAAAGCUUACUCCAAGACCAUGCAAUUCCUGACCUUUACAAAGUGCUGCCAAACUGCACUUCCCUCUAACUCAUCUAACACAGGUGAACUUCUUCCAGGCACAAAGGGGCAACAAAGAACACUUUCACCUUGAUGACUGCUAAAAGAAGCACUUUUCUGACCCACUAUCUGUCUUUGAACUUGAAAAUGGUCAAUUCUCGUGCCAAUCUAUAGUCUUUACGGUAACAGUGCCAAAUAUUCCUAUAGGGAGUGAAUAAAGUUGUGCCCCCUGGAUCAACAUGAAAUAUCGUUGGAGAAAAUUCUUUCUUUGAAGCAGGACACAACCAAAUUAAAACAGGUCAUUCGUAAGUUUAAAAUUGUUCAUUCUUUUAGGAGCAUGAUCACCAGCUGUUACUACGACAUCAAUUUCUUGUAUGUAACGAGCAAAGAUUAAUGGGUCAGCAAAGUCUCGAGAUUUCAUCCUCAGUGGACUACUAAUAGACAACUUCUUCAAAAUCUCUCCAGUAGUUAUUAUCUUACAAAAUGUGGCAAAGCUCAGAGGCCAGAAAGUUUGUCUAACCUGAGGCAACUGCUACCUUUGGUUUAAUUUAAUCCAAUUUAAUUACAUUUUAUUUAUACAGUUCCAUAUUAAAGCAACAGUUGCCUCGAGGUGCUCGGGAUUACUCAGGAUGCUUCAAACUGUGUGUGUUAGACUCACAGCAUCUAAACCAUCCUUCAAGCUCAGGUUAUGCAGUGAUGAGUUCAUUGUACGAAAACCCGCAAAAGACUUUGUGGGGAGAUCAGGGAAGAGUCAUCUGAAGCAUGGAGGUUUUCAACCUUUUAACCUCCUUCCAAAAAUAACUCCUUCAAACCAAACAUUUCAACUGACACAGAGACAUACAUAAUGAUCUACAUACAAAGUACAAAGAACAAACAUGGCUAUAAGAAUAAUUUGCUAUUAACUGUAAAGUAGCUUCACGAUCUACUGUCAGUAUAAGAGUGGCAAUUUUGGCCUUUCUGUGUAAUGAUAGUAACUGAUAUCGUAUGUACACAAUAGCAGCAAACAUAUUUUUGGUAAACAGGAU
ensembl:lncRNA